UACGUAGGGGGCAAGCGUUGUCCGGAAUCAUUGGGCGUAAAGCGCGCGUAGGCGGCCCGGUAAGUCCGCUGUGAAAGUCGGGGGCUCAACCCUCGGAUGCCGGUGGAUACUGUCGGGCUAGAGUGCGGGAGAGGCGAGUGGAAUUCCUGGUGUAGCGGUGAAAUGCGCAGAUAUCAGGAGGAACACCGGUGGCGAAGGCGCUCUGCUAGGCCGCAACUGACACUGAGGGACGAAAGCUAGGGGAGCGAAUGGG
rnacentral:rRNA from 1 species